CACGUAGGGGGCAAGCGUUGUCCGGAUUUAUUGGGCGUAAAGAGCUCGUAGGCGGUUUCGUAAGUCGGGUGUGAAAACUCUAGGCUCAACCUAGAGACGCCACCCGAUACUGCGAUGACUAGAGUCCAGUAGGGGAGUGUGGAAUUCCUGGUGUAGCGGUGAAAUGCGCAGAUAUCAGGAGGAACACCAACGGCGAAGGCAGCACUCUGGGCCGGAACUGACGCUGAGGAGCGAAAGCGUGGGUAGCGAACAGG
rnacentral:rRNA from 1 species